UGCUUACACUAUGCAACAACUUGUCUUUGGUUUUGUUGCCUCUUACUAUUUUAUAUAUACUGGUGUAUUUGAUAUCUCCUUCAGUUACAGCUGUUAGAGAAUGUUAAUGGCAUCUGCCUUCCUUUCAUAUUGGUCAAGAUAUCUAGGAAAGCAAGGGUGGAAAUUGUGAUUUCAGAAGACUCGAAGUUUUCAAUGGGCAUGCAUCUUUUUUUAUAUACUUCUCACACCAAAGGCUUAUCAAGUAUAUUGAGACGAUGUAACCGGACUAUAUUUGCAAACUUAGUUGUCCAUCUAGGGGUAUUGGUGGUCAUGCCGGAAGCCCGGAACAUAUGCGGAAUGAGGCAUCCAUGGUCAAGCUUCGAUAGACUUGCUAAAGUUAAAGAAGCUCAUGAUGAACUUUAGCAGACAAUGUCUCUGAUGUUCAAGACAGAACUUUGUAAAUGAGGACAAUGUCGCGAGAUGCAAAUAUGUAAAUGAUGUUGAAGAGAGCUUUAAAUGUCUCUGCAACAACGGACCUGCAGCCUGUAGGUAAUUGGUCUUGUGUCUUCCAGCUGCAAUAGAAAAAGUCUAAGCGAUCAAGGUCCUACUGUUCAAUUAAGCUGGCCGUUUGCUUUCUUCUUGUGCCUACAACAUGCUCGCUGAAUUAUUUUGUCGUAGUGUGAAAGCUUGUAAGCGCCAGAUUGAGACCCUACUAAUAAAUUAAGGUGGCUGCUUGCUUGCUUGCUUUUUUUC